rnacentral:rRNA from 1 species
UACGAAGGGGGCUAGCGUUGCUCGGAAUCACUGGGCGUAAAGGGUGCGUAGGCGGGUUUUUAAGUCAGGGGUGAAAUCCUGGAGCUCAACUCCAGAACUGCCUUUGAUACUGAAGAUCUUGAGUCCGGGAGAGGUGAGUGGAACUGCGAGUGUAGAGGUGAAAUUCGUAGAUAUUCGCAAGAACACCAGUGGCGAAGGCGGCUCACUGGCCCGGUACUGACGCUGAGACGCGAAAGCGUGGGGAGCAA